rnacentral:rRNA from 1 species
UAGGGAAUUUUACGCAAUGGGCGAAAGCCUGACGUAGCGACACCGCGUGAGCGAAGAAGCCCUUUGGGGUGUAAAGCUCUGUCAGCUGGAACGAAACAAAUGACGGUACCAGCAGAGGAAGCAUCGGCUAACUACGUGCCAGCAGCCGCGGUAAGACGUAGGAUGCAAGCGUUGUCCGGAUUUAUUGGGCGUAAAGAGUUCGUAGGCGGUUUGUUAAGUCUGAUGUUAAAGAUCAGGGCCCAACCCUGGGAGUGCAUUGGAUACUGGCAGACUGGAGUGUGGUAGAGGUAAGUGGAAUUCCUGGUGUAGCGGUGAAAUGCGUAGAUAUCAGGAAGAACACCGGUGGCGUAGGCGACUUACUGGGCCAUAACUGACGCUGAGGAACGAAAGCCAGGGGAGCAAAUG